rnacentral:rRNA from 2 species
CGACGGGAGCUUGCUCCCUGAGAUUAGCGGCGGACGGGUGAGUAACACGUGGGCAACCUGCCUAUAAGACUGGGAUAACUUCGGGAAACCGGAGCUAAUACCGGAUACGUUCUUUUCUCGCAUGAGAGAAGAUGGAAAGACGGUUUACGCUGUCACUUAUAGAUGGGCCCGCGGCGCAUUAGCUAGUUGGUGAGGUAAUGGCUCACCAAGGCGACGAUGCGUAGCCGACCUGAGAGGGUGAUCGGCCACACUGGGACUGAGACACGGCCCAGACUCCUACGGGAGGCAGCAGUAGGGAAUCUUCCGCAAUGGACGAAAGUCUGACGGAGCAACGCCGCGUGAACGAAGAAGGCCUUCGGGUCGUAAAGUUCUGUUGUUAGGGAAGAACAAGUACCAGAGUAACUGCUGGUACCUUGACGGUACCUAACCAGAAAGCCACGGCUAACUACGUGCCAGCAGCCGCGGUAAUACGUAGGUGGCAAGCGUUGUCCGGAAUUAUUGGGCGUAAAGCGCGCGCAGGUGGUUCCUUAAGUCUGAUGUGAAAGCCCACGGCUCAACCGUGGAGGGUCAUUGGAAACUGGGGAACUUGAGUGCAGAAGAGGAAAGUGGAAUUCCAAGUG